UACGAACUGUGCGAACGUUAUUCGGAAUCACUGGGCUUACAGGGUGCGUAGGCGGCUAUUCAGGUCAGGUGUGAAAGCCCCCGGGCUCAACCGGGGAACUGCGCUUGAAACCGAGUGGCUCGAGUCAGCUAGAGGUACACGGAACUUCCAGUUGGAGCGGUGAAAUGUGUUGAUAAUUGGAAGGAACACCGGAGGCGAAAGCGGUGUACUGGGGCUGGUACUG
rnacentral:rRNA from 1 species